rnacentral:piRNA from 1 species
UAUUUGAAGUUUUUUUGUCGA